rfam:Pristionchus pacificus strain PS312 contig4475, whole genome shotgun sequence.
UCUUCAUUUUCCACGCUCUCUCAUCGGUCAGAGAGGCGAGAGAGUGUGCGAAAUGAAGAGA